rnacentral:rRNA from 1 species
AUGCCCCUGCCUGAACCUCCCAUCAACAACUGGAUUGGCUCAUCACAUGGAUGGAUAGCCACCAUGGAUGAAAAGUCCGACCUGACGCUGCUCAAUCCGAUCACUGGCGACAGGAUUGCACUCCCUCCGGCGACGGCCAUGGAGCACGUUAAACCUAUCCUGAAUGACGACGGAGCUCUUCUGAAGUAUGUGGUGUCUUACUACGACGGAGGGCUUCCGAGGGUGGAGGAUACACCCUAUGCAUCUGAUUUGGAUGAGUAUGGUGAUUUUUUCUAUCUUAAGGCAACUUUAUCAUCUGAUCCUUCAAAAGGUGAAUGCACUGUCAUGCUCAUCCACCAGCCAUACGGGCAGCUCUCGUUUGCCAAAGUGGGAGAUGUUCACUGGAAUUGGCUCAAAAUAUGUAAUUUCUAUGCAGAUUGCAUAUCCCAUGAUGGAUGGUUCUAUGCAAUGACCGAUAAAGGUGCAAUUGAUGCGUUUAAUUUAAAUGGACCAUCUGUCAUCCACAAAAGAGUUUUGCCAAAUGUGUUUUUGUUUGGUGAAAGAUCAUACAUUGUCAAGGCCCCAUGUGGAGAUGUCCUCCAGGUCGAUAGAAAGCAGAUUUUGGAUCGUGAACGGCCAGGUGGUGAGACGUAG